UGAUAUAAGGGCAAUCUGGGGCUGUGACUCACCCCAUUGAUUGCAAGGGUUGAUUUAGCUGAUCUGGCUGGCUGGGUGGGUGUCCCCUUCCUCCCUCACUGCUCCAUUUUAUGUCCCUCCCCAGUUCGUGCUGGGUCAUAGAGGAGGACCAUUGGUAAAGGUAUAUUGAGUAGAUGUGCUACCCUGCUAGAAACUCCAAAUAAGCUCUCAAAUUAGUAUGUGCUAUUAUUAUAAGUGUAAAUUACACACUGAACAUUGAAGACAAUAUGAAAAAAGUAAAAUAUAUCAUUGAUAAUUUUUA
rnacentral:snRNA from 1 species